rnacentral:rRNA from 1 species
GACCUCAGUUCAGGUGAGAUUACCGGCUGAAUUUAAGCAUAUUACUAAGCCGAGGAAAAGAAACUAACAAGGAUUCCUUAGUAGCAGCGAGCGAACAGGGAAGAGCCCAGCGCUGAAUCCCCCGGGCCUCGCUCGGCGGGAAAUGUAGCGUUUGGGAGGGCCCGUCAACACGGCGACUCGCUCACUGGUUCAAGUCCAACUUGAAUGGGGCCACACAGAGGGUGACAGGCCCGUAGAGCAGGAGCGGUUGUCGUGUGGGUCUCUCCUUAGAGUCGGUUUGCUUGAGAGUGCAGACUUAAGUGGGUGGUAAACUCCAUCUAAGGCUAAAUAUGACCACGAGACCGAUAGCACACAAGUACCGUGAGGGAAAGGUGAAAAGAACUUUGAAGAGAGAGUUCAAGAGUACGUGAAACUGAAGUGGUGUAAACGGACGAGUUCGAAAAGUCCGAAUGGUGAAAUUCAAGCUUACCGUGCCGGUGGCCCUCGGGUUCAGAUGGCGUCGUCAGCUCGGGCUUCGGUUCGGGUCAUACGGCGUCACUCGUCCUGGGGGUAUCUGUCUGGUGCGGUGGGCUGCACUUCUCGCCUAGUAGGACGUCGCGACCCGUUGGGAUGUUCCGUUCACUGGCCCCUGGUGGAGCCCGCGCCGGAGCGUGGCCUUGUGCCGCGUUGCUGUUUGCACGGACCCGGGGUGACCUGAUCGGCGCCCGACGGUAUCAAAGCUUGGGAAGAGGCCGCACAGAGGAUGCGUUCGAUGGCCGUUUCGGCCUACACUCGGACAGGCCUGCACCCGGUCAG